rnacentral:rRNA from 1 species
AGAGUUUGAUCAUGGCUCAGAUUGAACGCUGGCGGCAUGCCUUACACAUGCAAGUCGAACGGCAGCACGGGAGCUUGCUCCUGGUGGCGAGUGGCGAACGGGUGAGUAAUACAUCGGAACGUACCCAGGAGUGGGGGAUAACGUAGCGAAAGUUACGCUAAUACCGCAUAUUCUGUGAGCAGGAAAGCGGGGGAUCGCAAGACCUCGCGCUCUUGGAGCGGCCGAUGUCGGAUUAGCUAGUUGGUGAGGUAAAAGCUCACCAAGGCGACGAUCCGUAGCAGGUCUGAGAGGAUGAUCUGCCACACUGGGACUGAGACACGGCCCAGACUCCUACGGGAGGCAGCAGUGGGGAAUUUUGGACAAUGGGGGCAACCCUGAUCCAGCCAUGCCGCGUGAGUGAAGAAGGCCUUCGGGUUGUAAAGCUCUUUCGGCGGGGAAGAAAUGGCAACGGCUAAUAUCCGUUGUUGAUGACGGUACCCGCAUAAGAAGCACCGGCUAACUACGUGCCAGCAGCCGCGGUAAUACGUAGGGUGCGAGCGUUAAUCGGAAUUACUGGGCGUAAAGCGUGCGCAGGCGGUUUCGUAAGACAGACGUGAAAUCCCCGGGCUCAACCUGGGAACUGCGUUUGUGACUGCGAGGCUAGAGUACGGCAGAGGGGGGUAGAAUUCCACGUGUAGCAGUGAAAUGCGUAGAGAUGUGGGAGGANUACCGAUGGCGAAGGCAGCCCCCUGGGUUAGUACUGACGCUCAUGCACGAAAAGCGUGGGGAGCAAAC